UACGUAGGGGGCUAGCGUUGUCCGGAAUCAUUGGGCGUAAAGCGCGUGUAGGCGGUUCGGUAAGUCCGCUGUGAAAGUCGGGGGCUCAACCCCUCGAAAGCCGGUGGAUACUGUCGGGCUAGAGUACGGAAGAGGCGAGUGGAAUUCCUGGUGUAGCGGUGAAAUGCGCAGAUAUCAGGAGGAACACCAAUUGCGAAGGCAGCUCGCUGGGACGUUACUGACGCUGAGACGCGAAAGCGUGGGGAGCAAACAGG
rnacentral:rRNA from 1 species